AUGGACACUGUGAUCUCACAAGCACAAACAACACUCGGAGGACUUUCCCUUCAGCGUACUAUGUUUGGGGGAUUAAAUUCAAAGCUGACCAAUGUUAGCAGCCGCCUCCCAACGGUAAAUAACAUUCUCUCAGCAAUAAAAAGGAGAAAAUCUAUGGAUACCAUCAUCCUUUCCCUUGUUGCGUCUGUGUGCACAUUUCUCAUUCUAAUUUACUGGUUGACCAAGUAGGUAGGUAAUGUGGUAUCUCUGAUGGAGUUUUGCUUCCUUAUUCUUUAUUUAUAUAUUGUAAGUGAGAAUACUAGUUUUCCCUUAGUGUUUUUGUUCGAUGAAAUUUUGAUAUACUUGUUAUAUAUUUUCUCUAAAUGGUGCGUGUGUGUGUGUCUGUGUGAGGAAAGGAAAGCAAGAGAGGUAUAAAUGAGUCAUCAUAAUCUGUUCAUAUGGAUUGUAUGAGGCUGUGAAAAGCGGUUGUGAGGGAUUAAUGUUGUGGCUUAGGUUUAGUUGGUUCUUAGAGAUUUAGGAGCUUUUUCAGAGGGUGAGAGGUUUUCCGGGAGGUGAAUUAAUUCUUGCUGAAAAAACGUCUGUUUUGAGAGAAUGGGGUGAAGGUUUUUGCGGUUGUUUUGGGUUGGCUUGGGUCAUUAUGUUGUGUUGUUGAGGUCUUGUUGGUAGUCUUUCCUGUGUUUCCAAGUAGUUUGGUGGGCCUGAGUAUGUUGAUCUUUGUUUUGUAAGGCUGUGGUUUUGCAAGGGGCUUUAUUCUUUGUAUGAGGUGACAUCUUGUCAUUAGAAUUUAUAUUUUCUCUGUAUUUUUCUUUUUUGUUGAUUUCUUAUUAUAAAAAAGGCCAAGUGUGAACCACUGCUACUAUUCUCCUAUA